rnacentral:rRNA from 1 species
GUAAUAAUCCUGUAGUCGAAAAUGUUGUCUCUCUUGAGUGGAUCCUGAGUACGACGGAGCACGUGAAAUUCCGUCGGAAUCUGGGAGGACCAUCUCCUAAGGCUAAAUACUCUCUAGUGACCGAUAGUGAACCAGUACCGUGAGGGAAAGGUGAAAAGCACCCCGGAAGGGGAGUGAAAUAGAACCUGAAACCGUGUGCUUACAAGUAGUCAGAGCCCGUUAAUGGGUGAUGGCGUGCCUUUUGUAGAAUGAACCGGCGAGUUACGAUUUGAUGCAAGGUUAAGCAGUAAAUGUGGAGCCGUAGCGAAAGCGAGUCUGAAUAGGGCGUUUAGUAUUUGGUCGUAGACCCGAAACCAGGUGAUCUACCCUUGGUCAGGUUGAAGUUCAGGUAACACUGAAUGGAGGACCGAACCGACUUACGUUGAAAAGUGAGCGGAUGAACUGAGGGUAGCGGAGAAAUUCCAAUCGAACCUGGAGAUAGCUGGUUCUCUCCGAAAUAGCUUUAGGGCUAGCCUCAAGUGAUGAUUAUUGGAGGUAGAGCACUGUUUGGACGAGGGGCCCCUCUCGGGUUACCGAAUUCAGACAAACUCCGAAUGCCAAUUAAUUUAACUUGGGAGUCAGAACAUGGGUGAUAAGGUCCGUGUUCGAAAGGGAAACAGCCCAGACCACCAGCUAAGGUCCCAAAAUAUAUGUUAAGUGGAAAAGGAUGUGGCGUUGCCCAGACAACUAGGAUGUUGGCUUAGAAGCAGCCAUCAUUUAAAGAGUGCGUAAUAGCUCACUAGUCGAGUGACACUGCGCCGAAAAUGUACCGGGGCUAAACAUAUUACCGAAGCUGUGGAUUGUCCUUUGGACAAUGGUAGGAGAGCGUUCUAAGGGCGUUGAAGCAUGAUCGUAAGGACAUGUGGAGCGCUUAGAAGUGAGAAUGCCGGUGUGAGUAGCGAAAGACGGGUGAGAAUCCCGUCCACCGAUUGACUAAGGUUUCCAGAGGAAGGCUCGUCCGCUCUGGGUUAGUCGGGUCCUAAGCUGAGGCCGACAGGCGUAGGCGAUGGAUAACAGGUUGAUAUUCCUGUACCACCUAUAAUCGUUUUAAUCGAUGGGGGGACGCAGUAGGAUAGGCGAAGCGUGCGAUUGGAUUGCACGUCUAAGCAGUAAGGCUGAGUAUUAGGCAAAUCCGGUACUCGUUAAGGCUGAGCUGUGAUGGGGAGAAGACAUUGUGUCUUCGAGUCGUUGAUUUCACACUGCCGAGAAAAGCCUCUAGAUAGAAAAUAGGUGCCCGUACCGCAAACCGACACAGGUAGUCAAGAUGAGAAUUCUAAGGUGAGCGAGCGAACUCUCGUUAAGGAACUCGGCAAAAUGACC